CUUGAACCGGCAACAUCUUUAGUAAAUAUUUUUAAAUUAUUUGUAUCCGACAAGAUUUUCCAAAUUUUGUAAAUUUCAACAAAUUUCAGAAAAGUUCAGAGAAAUCAUGCAUAAGUGCACGUGUUUUGAGCCAAGUACGUCUAAGCAAAGAUGUCUAGCCUGCGGAGACCAGCGAAGCAGUGUUAAGACCGAACCAAAGGAUGUCGAGCCCCAGCAGAGCAACAAGACAGGGCGCCGUUAUCACGUUGAUCAUGAAGAUGUCCAGUGUUUGUCAUCAUACGUACGGAUAUAUCCCAGGAAGAAGCCUAAUAAAAAGUAGCAGAAAUUGGAUGCUGCCCCUUCAUCCACUCCACCUCAAGGCGACAGAUGCUUGUCCUACAGAUAAAUUGUUGUAUUGUGAUGCAUUGUCUACUUUUGAAGAGUUUCCACUGGAAAUGCGGGAUCAAUCUGGUGUUGUGUAUUUUGUAAAUGCAUCGAGCCCCAGCAGAGCAACAAGACAAGUCGCCUUUAUAACGAAGAUCAUGACGUUCAGUAUCCAAGGAAGAAGCCUAAAAAGGAACAAGUAGGAGCUGCUCCUUCAUCCAAUCCACCUAAGGCGACAGAUGCUUGUCCUACAGAUAAAUUGUUGUAUUGUGAUGCAUUGUCUACUUUUGAAUAGUUUCCACUGGAAAUGCGGGAUCAAUCUGGUGUUGUGUAUUUUGUAAAUGCAUCGAGCCCCAGCAGAGCAACAAGACAAGUCGCCUUUAUAACGAAGAUCAUGACGUCCAGUAUCCAAGGAAGAAGCCUAAAAAGGAACAAGUAGGAGCUGCUCCUUCAUCCGCUCCACCUAAGGCGACAGAUGCUUGUCCUACAGAUAAAUUGUUGUAUUGUGAUGCAUUGUCUACUUUUGAAGAGUUUCCACUGGAAAUGCGGGAUCAAUCUGGUGUUGUGUAUUUUGUAAAUGCAUCGAGCCCCAGCAGAGCAACAAGACAAGUCGCCUU